rnacentral:rRNA from 1 species
AACGAACGCUGGCGGCAUGCCUAACACAUGCAAGUCGAACGAGACCUUCGGGUCUAGUGGCGCACGGGUGCGUAACGCGUGGGAACCUGCCCUUCGGUUCGGAAUAACUCCCCGACAGGGGUGAUAAUACCGGAUAAUGUCUUCGGACCAAAGAUUUAUCGCCUUUGGAUGGGCCCGCGUUGGAUUAGCUAGUUGGUAGGGUAAAAGCCUACCAAGGCGACGAUCCAUAGCUGGUCUGAGAGGAUGAUCAGCCACACUGGGACUGAGACACGGCCCAGACUCCUACGGGAAGCAGCAGUGGGGAAUAUUGGACAAUGGGCGAAAGCCUGAUCCAGCAAUGCCGCGUGAGUGAUGAAGGCCUUAGGGUUGUAAAGCUCUUUUACCCGGGAUGAUAAUGACAGUACCGGGAGAAUAAGCUCCGGCUAACUCCGUG